UACGGGGGGGGCAAGCGUUGUUCGGAAUUACUGGGCGUAAAGGGCUCGUAGGUGGCCAACUAAGUCGGACGUGAAGUCCCUCAGCUUAACUGGGGAACUGCGUGUGAUACUGGAUGGCUUGGAUUUGGGAGAGGGAUGCGGAAUUCCAGGUGUAGCGGUGAAAUGCGUAGAUAUUUGGAGGAACACCGGUGGCGAAGGCGGCAUCCUGGACCGGCAUUGACGCUGAGGAGCGAAAGCCAGGGGAGCAAACGGG
rnacentral:rRNA from 1 species